UACGGAGGGUGCGAGCGUUGUCCGGAAUCACUGGGCGUAAAGGGCGCGUAGGCGGCCUGUUAAGUCGAACGUGAAAUCCCCGGGCUCAACCCGGGAACUGCGUCCGAUACUGGCAGGCUUGAAUCCGGGAGAGGGAUGCGGAAUUCCAGGUGUAGCGGUGAAAUGCGUAGAUAUCUGGAGGAACACCGGUGGCGAAGGCGGCAUCCUGGACCGGCAUUGACGCUGAGGCGCGAAAGCCAGGGGAGCAAACGGG
rnacentral:rRNA from 1 species